CGAAGGGAAACCGAGUCUUAAUUGGGCGUUAAGUUGCAGGGUAUAGACCCGAAACCCGGUGAUCUAGCCAUGGGCAGGUUGAAGGUUGGGUAACACUAACUGGAGGACCGAACCGACUAAUGUUGAAAAAUUAGCGGAUGACCUGUGGCUGGGGGUGAAAGGCCAAUCAAACCGGGAGAUAGCUGGUUCUCCCCGAAAGCUAUUUAGGUAGCGCCUCGUGAAUUCAUCUCCGGGGGUAGAGCACUGUUUCGGCUAGGGGGCCAUCCCGGCUUACCAACCCGAUGCAAACUGCGAAUACCGGAGAAUGUUAUCACGGGAGACACACGGCGGGUGCUAACGUCCGUCGUGAAGAGGGAAACAACCCAGACCGCCAGCUAAGGUCCCAAAGUCAUGGUUAAGUGGGAAACGAUGUGGGAAGGCCCAGACAGCCAGGAUGUUGGCUUAGAAGCAGCCAUCAUUUAAAGAAAGCGUAAUAGCUCACUGGUCGAGUCGGCCUGCGCG
rnacentral:rRNA from 1 species